GUGGUGGUUCCGGGUGUCUUUGUCCCCCCGGUGUCGCUGCCCUGGCCCGCAGCCUUUUCCCCACGACUCUGAAAGAGGACAGCGUUCCCAAUGUCCCAGUUUAAGCGCCAGCGGAUCAACCCGCUUCCAGGGGGACGCAACUUCUCAGGCACAGCUUCAACAUCUCUUCUGGGCCCUCCUCCUGGUUUGCUCACUCCUCCUGUGGCCACAGAACUGUCCCAGAAUGCCAGGCACCUUCAGGGUGGGGAGAAACAGCGGGUCUUCACUGGUAUUGUUACCAGCUUGCAUGACUACUUUGGGGUUGUGGAUGAAGAGGUCUUUUUUCAGCUAAGGUAGG
rnacentral:lncRNA from 1 species